rnacentral:SRP_RNA from 1 species
GCUGGGCAUGGUGGUGCAUGCCUGUAAUCCUAGCUACUCAGGAGGCUGAGGCAGGAGAAUUGUUUGAACCCAGGAGGCGGAGGUUGCAGUGAGCCAAGGUGGCAACACUGCACUCCAGCCUGGGCAACAGAGUGAGACCAUGUCUCAA